GUGUGUAAGUGACACUGUUUCUCCUUCCUUGAUAAAUGUUACUGUGACUUGAUUUAGAUUUUUUUUGUAUUCAUAUCACACUCAUUUAAUUGUUUUCCAGAUGCCUGUGAGACGUAUUCUCAGGAGCUUCAGGUUCAGGCGGAACACUCAUUGCGGAGUUCAGCGCGGAGUCGAGCGAGAAGAAAGCGGGUCAGAGUUUAUUUGCUGACUUGUUUCAGGUGCAUUGAUCGAUGUGUUGUGUCCGUACGCAUCGCAUCGCACAGUACUGAUUCAUUGUUGUUUUUACAGCUGCUGGAAUCAAGACAAAGUGUGCUGGCUGAUGACGAGGUGGAACGCUGGAAAUCCGCCACCGUGGAGCUCACGUCGGACGGAGGGGACGGCGUUGUUGGCGGGGUCUCGGGUGGAUUGUACGGUCGCCACACGCACACGAGCCGCCUGCACAACAGACCUGCCUCGGAAAACACGUCGCCAGUGACGGUCAACAACCCCGAGGAGGCAAACGGACAGUUUACUGAGCUGUAGUUUUUAAACCGCCGUUACCCAAGUGUGGGCAGAUCCUCACUUUGUAUGUAGUUGUUGUUUGUGUGUUGUUAAUAAAGCUUUUUCUUUGCAUAAACAUUCAUUGAUGUCCUGGUUGGUAUCCUAAUAAUAGUGUAGUAGCCUGCAUAGGAUAACCAUGAAAUGAAUAUACAGCAUAAUAUGAAUAUAUAAAUAUAUAUAAAUAAAAUGAGGCGGGUGACCAAUAGCGACAGAUCUGCCAACCAAUCACGAGUGAUUGAAAGUUGUGGUUUCAUCCAAUCAUGAACAAGGAAACUCAAGGCUGGUCUGCCCACGUGUGGUUUUGCUGCCAAUCACGAGUGAUUUUAUUUGUUAGUAAGUUGUGGUUUCAUCCAAUAAGCAGUAAGGAUAUUCAAGCCCGCUCGGCUCGGCCACCGCGGCUUCGCUGCAUUCAUAUGCUAAUUCGGGCCAUUCGCACCUCCGCCAGCUCUCCACAUACGUCAUGGUUCGUUUCCGACAAUUUGUGGCACAGACAAACGCGACGUGCGCGGGUUGCAAAUUGUCGGAAAUUGUCGGAAAUUAGGGAGAUUUCCGGGCGUUUACGGGGACGAAAAUCUCACUUUUCAUGCAGUGUAUUCCCUCCUUCCAAAUGUCCAUCAGGGUCGAGGACAACGUCCCUGUCCAGAAGGCGUGUGUGUGCAUUUUUUUGACCAAGCACACCGGCUCUACCCCCUGCGCCACGACGGC
ensembl:lncRNA